GAAUGAUAAUUUUUUAAAUUCUCGAUUGGGGAAAACCGAUUCUUACAUAUAGAAAAGCAUGUGUACAGCGAAGGGUGUUUUGGAAAAAUACAUGUAUUGGAAGGUCGGUACAGGUACACGUAUAUAUAUCAAUACUGAUGCUUAGAUUCUAGAUGCUGUUAAUUUUAAGUUAUCUUCAGUUAUUAAUGCCAUGCAAGAUGUUAAGGUCAAUGAGUUGAUCAACAGUAAUGAGAGAACAUGGAAGUGAGAUUUCAUAAACAAUAAAUUUUCCGCAGAUGAUGCUGGAAAAAUCCUUCGUAUCCCUUUAGCACGCACACCUCACGAAGAUUUCUUGGUCUGGGGAGGUGAGUAUUCAGGUGAGUUUUCGGUUCGCAGUGCCUAUAAACUAUUACAAUAAACUAUUACAAGGUUUGGAGGAAAUUCCUAGAGCUUACACUUUACAAACAGGCUAUAUGAACUUUUACAAAAAACUAUGGCUCCUUAAUCUACCAAGCAAAAUUAAGGUUACAAUAUGGAGAAUCUCAUGGAAUUAUUUGUCGACAAGGGUUAAUAUGCAGUAGCAUUAGCUCGUCAGUAACACAAACUGCCCUCGGUGCGGUGAAAGUGCUGAAACAAUCGACCAUAUUUUUCGCAAAUGUCCUGUCACAGUGGAAGUUUGGUCACUAUUAAAAAUUCAGAAUUUGAUUCUGGUUCCUAACAUGGAUUUUUUAUAGUGGAUUACCUGGAUUUUUGAUCUAUUUUUUAAAGGGCAACAAAUAGCAGACUUCAUCAACAACUAUAUUGUUGAACCUAAUGGGCUUGAAAUAAGAAGGUCAAUUAAGGGAAAGGAAACAAGAAAGUGGAGCUACCCACAUCGCGAAUUCGUUAAAAUAAAUUUUGAUGGUGCGUAUGAUGCGACUCACCAUAAAUCUGCCUCAGGGGUUGUGGUCAGAGACGAGGAAAGGCUUGUCCUUCUUUCCUACUCAGAGAUCAACCACGGGGUAUCUUCCGCAUUUGCAGCCGAAGCAAUAGCGUGUAGAAAAGCGGUCAAAGUAGGAGUGGGACAACAAUGGCCGAAGGUGAUAAUAGAAGGCGACUCCCUCACGAUAAUCAAAAAAUGCACAACCAAAAGUCAAGAUCGUUCACAUAUAGGAGCUUAUAUACACGAUAUACAACAAAACAUUAACAGAUCGAGAAGCUUCUUUUUCAAACGUACAAUAAGAUCUGCAAACAACCUUGCGCAUGUAAUAACAACGGAAACUUUAAGAAGGAAGGAGGAGACGUACCUGGAAAUGGGGGUUCCGGUGUAUGCUGAGAUUCAACAAAGAAUGGAUCAGAGACGAGAGCCAGAUUGAUAACAGAGGGGAAACAGAGAAAUGAAAGGAAAGUAAAGGAAAGUCGGAGAAAUGGUUUUUGAAAGGAUAAACUUUCCUAAAAGCUGAAUCGUUAAAAGAAAAUUGAAAGGUACAUUGAUGAUACGACGGUUUACAGUAUGAUCUGACUGGGCAUUAAUUAGGUACAUCAAUCUAUAAUUUUUGACUGUUUGAUAAAUAUCUAGAUAUUUUCUAAUUAGUUUUUGAGCCUUUUUAGUUUCAGGCCGUGUCUUGUUUAGGUGCUGAUUGGUUUUCUCUUUUGCUUUUGGACUUUUACUAUGUACUUUUAUUUUAUUCAGUAUACAGCCCAGUCUGAAUUCUUUCAAAAAAAUUCAUUAAUAUAAUUCAGAAA
rnacentral:lncRNA from 1 species